rnacentral:tRNA from 1 species
GCAGGAGUAGCUCAAUUGGAUAGAGCGCCAGUCUUCGGAACUGGAGGUUAGGGGUUCAAUCCCUCUCUCCUGCA